UCUGGCAAAGGCCGUCUGAAGGGGAGGCCCUUGCAGCAGGAAUGCGAGCGGCGCAGCAGCAGCCCUUUUUCCCAGUCCGGCCUCCCCCUCGCGCGCGACGCGAGCAAUCUGGCUAAGGGCGAGAGGAGGACGUGAGCUAGCGCAGCGCAGCGGGCUGGAGCUGAUGAUGAAACAGCGGCACGGCCCUGCGUGAGCAGGCUCGUUUUCAUCAUCUGCAGCCACACGCACACCGCCUGCGCGCACGCCGCGGCGCGCCGAGCGGCCCGGCCGCCGGGCCGCUCUCGCACUGGGCCCAAGCGGGGUUCCUCCCCAGCCAGCCCUCCCGGGGCUGAGGAUGGCUCUGUGAGGUGGCAGCACAGGGAAGAAAAGCUCGGCGGUGACGGGACCCAAAUGCACGCACAAUGUGACGAUGUGGCUGAUAAUGCAGCUCAGCUAAUGAAGCUUUUAAUUACCACGCGGGGGGGGAGGUCCUAAGGAAAUAUCUUCCGGGAUUAAAACAGAGAGACGAGGGCUCCUCGUUAUAUUUAUACCUAUCUACAUGUCUCUCUUUAGCAAAGCAGUCCGUAAGGACUGUGAAACUGCAGCACCAAAAAAAAAAAAAAAAAAAAAAAAAAAAGAAAGAAAGAAAGAAAGAAAGCAAGCCCCACCACCCAGAGCUGCAAAUGGAGAUUUGGAAAAGUAAAUACUGUAUGUGACAAAAAAACUUGGUGAUUUUGUUUUCUCAUGCCCUUACUUCUAAACCAGCUGCACAGCCAAGCUCAGGCUGCUUGGCCCUUAUAACUAUCUUGGCACGGAGUCAAAAGCUGAUAAGCAUUUGGGCGAGACAGCUCAACUGCUGUGCUGGAAGAAAAACAGCUGCCAUGAUUGCUGUUUGAUUGAGAGCGCUUACACACACUCACAAAAAAACACAUCGGACAGCAAAGACGGGCCACGAAUGCCUAAGGAUUCAGCUUCAGAGGAUCAACACACAUUUCCUUAAAAAAAAAAAAAGUUUUAUAUGGUUUUUCCUCCAUUCCCCCUCCCCUUUUUUAAAGAAAACGUACUGCGUAGACUUGCUUUUCUUCUUCCCAUCCCCCCUCCAUAACCUCAAGCAAACUCAAGGAAUUGUGCCAAAAGUCCCGUUGCUGGUUACCAAGUGCAUUUUUUUAAACGUCCCUUUGAUACUUCUUUCCCUCAUGCUUGCCAUGGAAUAUGCAAGGGCAAGAAAAGGGAAACGAGGGGGAGAAGAAUAUUUUUUCUUUUUGCAGAGUCCAACAUUUGGCUUUUUCCAUUUGUGGCAGAUCACUGUAACGCUAUUGUAAAACAACUUCCUGCCCCUUUUGGCUCAAGUUCCAGAAGCUGCUAGGCUAAGUUCAUAGCACAAACUUUUUUCCCCCUUGCCGAAGAAGAAAGACAAAAAAAAUUUCCUGCAAAUUAUUUUCCCCCUUUUCUGGCUAAUGGACUCAUAAGGUGAAUUUAUUGCAGCUCCUUAAGAAUGUUACACAAGAGACGUCGGUAUCCCAGCUGGAUAAUUCAUAAGCUUAAAAGGAAGAGAGGGAAACUUACUGCUGUCAAGCAAACCGAAUGGAAAAACCCUUCCUAGCAUACGUGUCCCAUUGAGAAGCAUGGAGUUUAGCCCAGACAGCUCAUGACAACCUCCAAAGAGGCCAAGUGCAAAAGAAGAAACUUCCAAAGCAUCUGUUUGUACCAUGAUGGGCAGUACUCUCACCGCGGGCGGGUGACAGACUGGCACCCAGUACAACCCUCUCCACUUCUGUGCCUGGAAUGACUGAAUCUAACCAUACUGUUUGCAGCGAUUGCUGUUCCCCUAGAUCUAAUAUGAAAGUAUUGGGCUUUUUAUUUUAUCAGGAGUCAAAGAAAGAGCAGUGGAGUCAGAAAGCCUUGACAGACAACAGGCUUAGCAGUCAAUGUGCAGAGCAAAACAAGCACCUAAGGAAAAAAACCAAAAAAAUGUACAGUAGGUAUUUAAAAUAAGCCACUUGGAAUCACAGUACCACUUUGUCAUGUUGAAUGUUUAUUCCAUCUCCCCUUUUUCCUCCGCUUUUAUGCAUGGAAGAUUAUGUAGUCAUGUAUCAGUCAGAAAUAAAGGGUAACAGAAUCUCAGAGGAGGAGGAGGAGGUGGGCAAGGACAAAUUAUAUACAGAAAAAAGCUUUAUAACAGGUUGAGGCAAACAGGUAUCUCUUCCAAAAACCAAAAGCACCGAAUCGAAACAACUACUACAAAGAAUAUACUUAGAAAGUAAUAUUUUAAGUGGAGAUUAGAAGCGUAUGGACUGAACCAAUUUAUUGACAUAUGCUGGAAGCAGGAAGACUGCACAACGAUUGGUAAGUCUAAAAUAGUACUGGGAAAUAAAGGGAGUGAAUAAAGAGGAGGAAAAACACUGUAGAAGAGAUAACAAUUAUGACCUUGAGAUAUUUAGACAUGCAAAGUAGUAAACUCACCCUUUCUCACCCUGUACAUAUGACCACGUUAGCACUUCUUGUUAGCUGGGUUCCUGCUCUAGGAUUUAUUUAUAUUUAUAUAUAAAAAAAGCUGUAUACCCACUAGUCCUCCCAACGGAAACUCAAGACUCGUGAUUAUUUCCUGGUCUUUCAUUUUCUUGUUCUCUUUAACCUUCACAGCAGCCAGCAGAACUAUCUAGAUCCAAGAUAGGAAAUAAAAUCACAUUCUAAGAAGCAGUGGAAUAAGAUGCUCCUUCUCUAGAACAAGAAAACAGUGGAAGGAUGCAUGACUUUGUGACAUACAACUUCUGUAUAGGCCAUUUUGGGAGAGGAGCAAUAUUGACCCCACCUCUUAUUCCUGGCUGUACAUCUCCUGGUGUCCCGAAGUGAGGACAAACCCAGAGACAGCCUUUAGCUUAAAAGAAGUUAUCAGGUUUAAUACAGGGCGGAAACAGUUGAAAUAUCUGUGAUACACAGGUGAUCAAACUGUACCUGUCUAUUCCCACUAGACUUCAAAUCCCAUUAAUCUACACUUUUGCAAGUAAAGGAUGAGAGAGUGGCGCACAUCAAACCAGAAAGUGCUGACAUAACUGAGUAAGCUAAAAAGCAAGCCAUUCAGAGGACUAGAUACACAUGCAAGGGUUCUGAAGAAGCUCAAGGUUGAAGCCAGUGUUUCCAACAAAAAUAUACACCCUCUCCUAUCAGGAACGAAAGGGUAGCACUCCUUAAAAAUUGCUACAAAUGAUCUAGAUGACAUGCCAGUGAAUUCGAGCAUUUAGCAAACUUGCUGGAAGACUACUUAAAAAGCAUUAUAACUUCAAUGCCCAAGCAAAGAUUACAUAAUGGAGAGAAAAACAGCAUUGCUAACAUAAUGAAAAAUAUGUCUUUUUUAACUUGGAAUGCAUCUGCAGAAGAAAUUGUUAUUUAUUUGGCCUUUCAAAAGUGCUUUGAUAAUGUGACUCAUAAAGGCCAUAAAGAAAACAGAAUAAUCAUGAGUGAGAGUCAGAGUCAUGAUUAAAAAUUAGCUAAGCAGCCAAGAGCAAAAUGUAGGAAUAAAGAGACAAUUUAAGUAGAAAAAGGUUAGCAGUUGUUGCCUGUAGAAAGCAUGCUUGCAUCAGCUUUUAACAUUAAUUAGUGGUCUGGAAAAACAGCUGUAUAAUGAGACGGCAAAAUUGACAAAUGAUUGGAAUGUAUUUGGGUUACUGAAGGGGUUUACCAAAGUUGAGUGCACAUGAAUCAUUAUGAUAAGUAACUUUUCGUUUUGACAGUUACUAAGUAAGUCACAUUGCAACAUUCUCCACAGAGGCAAAAGACCUAAGUGCCAUCAUAAAAGUCAGUGAAAACUUUCAUGUAUAUGCAGCAAUAUCAAAAAAGACAAAUUUUAUGAUGCAUACAAAAAAGCACAGAAUACAAUACUGAAAACAUUACACUUCUGGCAUACACCUGCCAGGGAAAUACCUUCAUGGAGAAUGCUGUCUACAGUUCUUUCCGCUUACCUCAUUAAAACUCCAGAAGUAACAGGAAUGCAAAGGCAGAUGACUACAGUGAUUUUAUUCACAGAAAGACUCCCAUAUAAGAACAUACAAAGUGAUUAAACUAUUUAUGCUAGCAAGCACAUGAGCAACAGGGAACAUGACAGAGAUAGAUACUUUAAAAGUCAGAAUUAUAGUCUUUUUCAUCUACUUCCAAUCUCAAACGGGAGACCAUUCAGUUAAAUUAAAUAAGCAGUAAGUUAAAACCAUGGGAAUAUUAAUAUAUAUUAUUUUACAAAGUGCAGGCUCAGCAUGUGAAAAUCGGUGCCACAGUGCAUCAUUAAGGGACCUCAGUGGGAUUCUGAAAGAAUACAGAUCCACGUACAGCCUACCAGAACAUUACAGCAUUAAAUAGGAUUGUUUCCUGGAAAGACUCUUGCACAAAGCCGCUAUAAAACCGUUGGCCAAGAGAUCUACUUGGCCCACCUUCCAGAAAGGACAGGGUAUUCCAAAAGGAUCAAGUGUUGGUCCUCUUAGUGCUACAUUCUCUUAUCAAUCAACCACUUGUAAAAACUGUCAAGGAAACACAGUAUUUAUCAGGCUGUGGGUAUGAUCCAAUGCAAUAAUUUCUAUAUUCAAAGGCUUCCUAUGGCCAAAAGCAAUUGCAAAAAAAAUAGAGAAGUUCACUUCAACAAAAGUGAAAUACAUAGUCAUCUAAAUUACAGUGCCUGAUACAACACUGUCAAUGCAUCACUCAAACUUAAAACCCCUAAAACAUAUACGUUGACUUUGCCACCUGCUCUUCCCCCUCCCCAUAAAUAAUUAGGAGGAACUCCUAAAUUAUAAUUAAUAUAAGAUAUUGUUUUACUAAACAAUUGCAUUUCCUUCUUUAUUAUCUUUUUUCCCCAUCCACACAUCAUUAUUUGCAAAAACCAUUUAAUAAUUAUAAGAGAUUCCAAGAUCAGAUGCUGGGAUACUGCCACUUGUAUGGUGGUUUGCUACACUUAGCCUUCAGUCUUGUGGCUAGCAAUUCACCCAAACUGUGAUAAUACCUCACCACAACCCACACACUGCUGCUCUUCAAAGGAAAAUAAGGAUACAUAAUUAAGAGAUGAUGAGCUCAAAUAUAAGAGAGAAGAUGAGGGAACAGAUUCUGUAACCACACCUGUGAGUGGUUAUACUACUGAAGAAGUUUAUUCAGCUCCACUUUCACUCAUUAUAUCAGUAAAACAGUCACACAUUCAAGAUACUUAAAUAACAUUUGCAGCAGCAGAGGAAAAAAAGGAGUCAUAAAACCUUGCCACCACAGAAAAAUAGCUUUAAAAUCUAUUACACAGAAUUAAGAAUGUAAAUAAGCCUCAUUAGCAAAUAACCAUAACAAAUGUGGGUUAUGUCUUAAAAUACAUGGUUUUACUGGAAAUAUUCUUUAAAUCUCUUUACUUAAAAUAUACUUAAAAUCUCAUCCCAAGCUUUUGUGAUCCUGUAAUUGCAGUCCUAAUGCAAAGAACUACAAGGGGAAAUAUCUGUGCAUAUACAUGCCAAUUUAGGGGAUAAUACUGCAGCAUUCUGCAUGGAAAUCAGAAGUAAGAAGGGGGUAUUGAUAUGUUUUAGAGUCUUCAGGAUCAGUCCCUUGAUGGAUAUUUGCAAUAAAGAAAGCAUCAAACCA